rnacentral:rRNA from 1 species
AUCAACUGACUACUGUUGCAUAGACGCCCACAGUGGUUUUGACGGGUAACGGGGAAUUAGGGUUCGAUUCCGGAGAGGGAGCCUGAGAAACGGCUACCACUUCUACGGAAGGCAGCAGGCACGCAAAUUACCCACUGGUCGAAGACCGAGGUAGUGACGAAAAAUAACGAUACCGGACUCAUCCGAGGCCCGGUAAUCGGAAUGAGUACACUUUAAAUCCUUUAACGAGGAACAAUUGGAGGGCAAGUCUGGUGCCAGCAGCCGCGGUAAUUCCAGCUCCAAUAGCGUAUAUUAAAGUUGUUGCGGUUAAAAAGCUCGUAGUUGGAUCUCAACGGCCUUGGAGCGGUUAUCAUGCUUGAUAGACUGCUCUGUAGGCCGUGCUUUUGCUGGAGGUUUAGGGGUGCUCUUAAUCGAGUGUCUCUGGAUGCCAGCAGGUUUACUUUGAAAAAAUUAGAGUGCUCAAAGCAGGCUUUUCACGCUUGAAUAUUCGUGCAUGGAAUAAUAGAAUAGGAACUCGUUUCUAUUUUGUUGGUUUUCGGAAAUCGAGUUAAUGAUUAAUAGGGACAAUUGGGGGCAUUAGUAUUCAGACGACAGAGGUGAAAUUCUUGGACCGUCUGAAGACUAACUACUGCGAAAGCAUUUGCCAAGAGUGUUUUCAUUAAUCAAGAACGAAAGUUAGAGGUUCGAAGGCGAUCAGAUACCGCCCUAGUUCUAACCAUAAACGAUGCCAGCUAGCGAUCUGCCGAGUUUUUUUUGUAGGCUCCGCAGGAAGCUUUCGGGAAACCAAAGCUUUUGGGUUCCGGGGGAAGUAUGGUUGCAAAGCUGAAACUUAAAGGAAUUGACGGAAGGGCACCACCAGGAGUGGAGCCUGCGGCUUAAUUUGACUCAACACGGGAAAUCUCACCAGGCCCGGACACUGGAAGGAUUGACAGAUUGAGAGCUCUUUCUCGAUUCGGUGGGUGGUGGUGCAUGGCCGUUCUUAGUUGGUGGAGUGAUUUGUCUGGUUAAUUCCGAUAACGAACGAGACUCUGUCCUGCUAAAUAGUUGGAUUGUCCUUCGUGCAAUCCAAAUUCUUCUUAGAGGGACUGGCUGCGUCUAGCAGCACGAGAUUGAGCAAUAACAGGUCUGUGAUGCCCUUAGAUGUUCUGGGCUGCACACGCGCUACACUGAAGGGAUCAACGUGCUUUCCCUGUCCGAUAGGACCGGGUAACCCGCUGAACCCCCUUCGUGGUAGGGAUUGGAGCUUGCAAUUGUUCUCCGUCCACCAGGAAUUCCCAGUAAGCGCAAGUCAUAAGCUUGCGUUGAUUACGUCCCUGCCCUUUGUACACACCGCCCGUCGCUACUACCGAUUGAACGUUUUAGUGAGGUCCACGGACUGUUUGCAGAGCGGAUUAUUCUGCCUUGCUGGCGGGAAGUCGACCAAACUUGAGCGUUUAGAGGAAGUAAAAGUCGUAACAAGGUUUCCGUAGGUGAACCUGCGGAAG